rnacentral:rRNA from 1 species
AGAGUUUGAUCCUGGCUCAGAUUGAACGCUGGCGGCAUGCUUUACACAUGCAAGUCGAACGGCAGCAUAGGUGCUUGCACCUGAUGGCGAGUGGCGGACGGGUGAGUAAUGCAUCGGGACGUGUCCGGAAGAGGGGGAUAACUGUUCGAAAGAACAGCUAAUACCGCAUAAUAUCCGAGGAAGAAAGCUGGGGACCUUAGGGCCUGGCGCUUACGGGGCGACCGAUGUCUGAUUAGCUAGUUGGUGGGGUAAAAGCCUACCAAGGCGACGAUCAGUAGCUGGUCUGAGAGGACGACCAGCCACACUGGGACUGAGAAACGGCCCAGACUCCUACGGGAGGCAGCAGUGGGGAAUUUUGGACAAUGGGGGCAACCCUGAUCCAGCAAUGCCGCGUGUCUGAAGAAGGCCUUCGGGUUGUAAAGGACUUUUGUUGGGGAGCAAGGUGCACAGGUUAAGAGCUAGUGUACUUGAGAGUACCCAAAGAAUAAGGACCGGCUAACUACGUGCCAGCAGCCGCGGUAAUACGUAGGGUCCAAGCGUUAAUCGGAAUUACUGGGCGUAAAGAGUGCGCAGGCGGCUUCGUAAGCUUGAUGUGAAAUCCCCGGGCUCAACCUGGGAACUGCAUUGAGGACUGCAAGGCUAGAGUGUAGCAGAGGGGGGGUAGAAUUCCACGUGUAGCAGUGAAAUGCGUAGAGAUGUGGAGGAAUACCGAUGGCGAAGGCAGCCCCCUGGGUUAACACUGACGCUCAUGCACGAAAGCGUGGGGAGCAAACAGGAUUAGAUACCCUGGUAGUCC